AAGCCAAUUAAUCUUUUUAUCUGAAUGUGUUUCUGCAGAAAUUUAGAAACAACUGGCAUUAGCCAUGCCAUUUUAUGAACCUUAAGGACAACUGAGGUCAUUAUAGUCCUUCAAAAUGGCUACAGUA